UUCGGAUUGUAAACUCCUGUUGUUGAGGAAGAUAAUGACGGUACUCAACAAGGAAGUGACGGCUAACUACGUGCCAGCAGCCGCGGUAAAACGUAGGUCACAAGCGUUGUCCGGAAUUACUGGGUGUAAAGGGAGCGCAGGCGGGAAGACAAGUUGGAAGUGAAAUCCAUGGGCUCAACCCAUGAACUGCUUUCAAAACUGUUUUUCUUGAGUAGUGCAGAGGUAGGCGGAAUUCCCGGUGUAGCGGUGGAAUGCGUAGAUAUCGGGAGGAACUCCAGUGGCGAAGGCGGCCUACUGGGCACCAACUGACGCUGAGGCUCGAAAGUGUGGGUAGCAAACAGGAUUAGAUACCCUGGUAGUCCACACUGUAAACGAUGAUUACUAGGUGUUGGAGGAUUGACCCCUUCAGUGCCGCAGUUAACACAAUAAGUAAUCCACCUGGGGAGUACGACCGCAAGGUUGAAACUCAAAGGAAUUGACGGGGGCCCGCACAAGCAGUGGAGUAUGUGGUUUAAUUCGACGCAACGCGAAGAACCUUACCAAGUCUUGACAUCCUGCGACGCACAUAGAAAUAUGUGUUUCCUUCGGGACGCAGAGACAGGUGGUGCAUGGUUGUCGUCAGCUCGUGUCGUGAGAUGUUGGGUUAAGUCCCGCAACGAGCGCAACCCUUAUGGUCAGUUACUACGCAAGAGGACUCUGGCCAGACUGCCGUUGACAAAACGGAGGAAGGUGGGGAUGACGUCAAAUCAUCAUGCCCUUUAUGACUUGGGCUACACACGUACUACAAUGGCGUUAAACAAAGAGAAGCAAGACCGCGAGGUGGAGCAAAACUCAGAAACAACGUCCCAGUUCGGACUGCAGGCUGCAACUCGCCUGCACGAAGUCGGAAUUGCUAGUAAU
rnacentral:rRNA from 1 species